rnacentral:rRNA from 1 species
CCUACGGGAGGCUGCAGUGGGGAAUAUUGGACAAUGGGCGAAAGCCUGAUCCAGCCAUGCCGCGUGUGUGAAGAAGGCCUUCGGGUUGUAAAGCACUUUCAGUGGGGAAGAAAGCCUUGGGGCUAAUACCCUCGAGGAAGGACAUCACCCACAGAAGAAGCACCGGCUAACUCCGUACCAGCAGCCGCGGUAAUACGGAGGGUGCGAGCGUUAAUCGGAAUUACUGGGCGUAAAGCGCGCGUAGGCGGUCUGAUAAGCCGGUUGUGAAAGCCCCGGGCUCAACCUGGGAACGGCAUCCGGAACUGUCAGGCUAGAGUGCAGGAGAGGAAGGUAGAAUUCCCGGUGUAGCGGUGAAAUGCGUAGAGAUCGGGAGGAAUACCAGUGGCGAAGGCGGCCUUCUGGACUGACACUGACGCUGAGGUGCGAAAGCGUGGGUAGCAAACAGGAUUAGAUACCCCAGUAGUC